rnacentral:rRNA from 1 species
CCUACGGGGGGCAGCAGUGGGGAAUAUUGGACAAUGGGGGGAACCCUGAUCCAGCCAUGCCGCGUGUGUGAAGAAGGCCCUCGGGUUGUAAAGCACUUUCAGUGAGGAAGAACGCCUGGUGGUUAAUACCCAUCAGGAAAGACAUCACUCACAGAAGAAGCACCGGCUAACUCCGUGCCAGCAGCCGCGGUAAUACGGAGGGUGCGAGCGUUAAUCGGAAUUACUGGGCGUAAAGCGCGCGUAGGUGGCUUGAUAAGCCGGUUGUGAAAGCCCCGGGCUCAACCUGGGAAUGGCAUCCGGAACUGUCAAGCUAGAGUGUAGGAGAGGAAGGUAGAAUUCCCGGUGUAGCGGUGAAAUGCGUAGAGAUCGGGAGGAAUACCAGUGGCGAAGGCGGCCUUCUGGACUGACACUGACACUGAGGUGCGAAAGCGUGGGUAGCAAACAGGAUUAGAUACCCUAGUAGUC